rnacentral:rRNA from 1 species
GACGAACGCUGACGGCGUGCUUAACACAUGCAAGUCGAGCGGUAAGGCCCUUUCGGGGGUACGACGAGCGGCGAACGGGUGAGUAACACGUGGGUGACCUGCCCUCCAGCUCUGGGAUAAGCCUGGGAAACCGGGUCUAAUACCGGAUAUGACUCCAUGACGCAUGUUGUGGGGUGGAAAGCCUUGUGCGGCUGAGGAUGGGCCCGCGGCCUAUCAGCUUGUUGGUGGGGUGAUGGCCUACCAAGGCGACGACGGGUAGCCGGCCUGAGAGGGCGACCGGCCACACUGGGACUGAGACACGGCCCAGACUCCUACGGGAGGGCAGCAGUGGGGAAUCUUGCGCAAUGGGCG